rnacentral:rRNA from 1 species
GAUGAACGCUGGCGGCGUGCCUAAUACAUGCAAGUCGAGCGAACAGACGAGGAGCUUGCUCCUCUGACGUUAGCGGCGGACGGGUGAGUAACACGUGGAUAACCUACCUAUAAGACUGGGAUAACUUCGGGAAACCGGAGCUAAUACCGGAUAAUAUAUUGAACCGCAUGGUUCAAUAGUGAAAGACGGUUUUGCUGUCACUUAUAGAUGGAUCCGCGCCGCAUUAGCUAGUUGGUAAGGUAACGGCUUACCAAGGCAACGAUGCGUAGCCGACCUGAGAGGGUGAUCGGCCACACUGGAACUGAGACACGGUCCAGACUCCUACGGGAGGCAGCAGUAGGGAAUCUUCCGCAAUGGGCGAAAGCUUGACGGAGCAACGCCGCGUGAGUGAUGAAGGUCUUCGGAUCGUAAAACUCUGUUAUUAGGGAAGAACAAAUGUGUAAGUAACUAUGCACGUCUUGACGGUACCUAAUCAGAAAGUCACGGCUAACUACGU